rnacentral:rRNA from 1 species
AUGUACAUCCAGUUGAUAGGACUGGUUGGACUUCUCAAGACACCUAGCAUCAAAAUUAGACGUGUACUGUGCCUGGCCAUCGCUAAUUCAUAUGAUGCAGAGCAGGAUGCCUUUAUCAUCAAUGGGAGACCAUGUAGGAUCACACUAGAAGAUGUAGCGCAUAUAAAAGGCAUGCCCUGCCAUGGGAAGAAGCACGUCCCUUCAAAUCUUGAUGAUAAUAUGGAGUUGUGGAAGAAAUAG